CUAUGACUUAAAAAAGUCAUGGCGGAAGGAG
rnacentral:ncRNA from 1 species